rnacentral:miRNA from 1 species
UAUACAUGUAUAAAAUGUAUAAAUGUAUAAAAACGUGUAUAUGUUAUACAUGUUAUACCAUAUAAUGUUAUAACAUAUACAUAUAUAUGUUACAAAUG